GGAAAGAACCAAAAGCAGAAUUUCUGCCAAAUGUUGCUCUGGCAUCACUAGGAGCAAACGUUGUAUCUGGCAGGACCUCAGCAUCAUACAAUUGGAAGAGGCCAUUUUUCUGCAAACUUUUUCGAACAUGCAAAUUAGUUUCUCCAGGAGUUGUCAUACAGGGAUCAUCAGAACUGCUUCCUGGAAACUGCUGGUCCUUUGCUGGUCAGCAAGGACACAUUACUAUUAACCUGUCUCACAAAGUUCCCAUCAGCCAUGUGACACUCGGUCACAUAUUGAAGUCGGUGUCUCCAUCUGGCACCACACCAAGUGCACCUAAGGAGUUUUCUGUCUAUGGAAAGAAAACAGUAGAAGAUGAGGGAACUCUUCUUGGAACCUUUACAUAUGAUAAUGAUGGAGACCAGUUCCAAACUUUUAAAA